GAUGAACGCUGGCGGCGGGCCUAAUACAUGCAAGUCGAGCGAACAGACGAAGAGCUUUCUCCGCUGACGUUAGCGGCGAACGGGUGAGUAACACGUGGAUAACCUACCUAUAAGACGGGGAGAACUUCGGAAGACCGGAUAUAAUACCGUAUAAUAUAUUGAACCGCAUUGAUCAUGAGUAAAAGGCAGGUUGUCGGGCACGUAUAGACGGUUGCGUACCUCAUUAGCUAGGUGGUAAGGUAACGGCUUACCAAGGCAACGAUGGGUAGCGGAACUGAGAGGGUGAUCGGCCACACUGGAACUGAGACACGGUCCAGACUCCUACGGGAGGCAGCAGUAGGGAAUCUUACGCAAUGGGCGAAAGCCUGACGGAGCAACGCCGCGUGAGUGAUGAAGGUCUUCGGAUUGUAAAACUCUGUUAUUAGGUAAGAACAAAUGUGUAAGUAACUAUGCACGUCUUGACGGUAACUAAUGAGAAAGCCACGGCUAACUACGUG
rnacentral:rRNA from 1 species